UCCUACAGCCAUACGACCCUGAAUGCGCCCGAUCUCGUCUGAUCUCGGAAGCUAAG
rfam:Larimichthys crocea isolate SSNF unplaced genomic scaffold scaffold4891, whole genome shotgun sequence.